rnacentral:lncRNA from 1 species
UUCCCUACAACUCUCCAUCUAUGAGGGAACACUGUGAGUUGGAGAAGGGGCGUCGUCCUCUUCAAUGUCCAUGCUGGACGCUUCCUCAACCUCCUCAGGGUCUUCCUGAGCUUCCAGCUGCAUCUGGAGGGCAUGCAUGUCAUCAAGCUCGGCGUGAUGCUCGUCCAGAUGAGCAUUAGCAACUGCCAGUUCCAUUUCUACUUCCAUCUUUUCCUCUGACAGCUCAAUCAUGCCAUCCACCAGAUCGG